rnacentral:rRNA from 15 species
CGAAAGCGAGUCUGAACAGGGCGUCGAGUUGCUGGGGAUAGACCCGAAACCGAGUGAUCUAUCCAUGGCCAGGUUGAAGCUCAGGUAAGACUGAGUGGAGGACCGAACCGUAGUAGGUUGAAAACUACCCGGAUGAGCUGUGGAUAGGGGUGAAAGGCCAAUCAAACUUGGUGAUAGCUGGUUUUCCGCGAAAUCUAUUUAAGUAGAGCGAGCACAGACAUAGCCUUAUAUCGGGGGUAGAGCUCUUUUAGGGUAAGGGGGAUCUAAAGAUCUUACUAAACUUUAAAAAACUACGAAUACCACAAAGGCCAAAUUUUUUUUUUUAAAAAAAAUGUCUAAUUGGAAGAGCCGUUUCAUAUGUGUGCUUAGACAGACUUUGAGCGCUAAGGUUCUUUGUCUAGAGGGAAACAGCCCAGAUUAUUCGCUAAAGUCUUAAAAUGUUUAUUAAGUGAUAAGAAAGUUAAUCAGCUAAGACAAUCGGCAGGUAAGCUUGGAAGCAGCUAUCCUUUAAAGAAAGCGUAACAGCUC